GACGAACGCUGGCGGCGUGCCUAAUACAUGCAAGUCGAGCGAAUGGAAGGGAGCUUGCUCCCUGAAGUUAGCGGCGGACGGGUGAGUAACACGUGGGCAACCUGCCUGUAAGACUGGGAUAACUUCGGGAAACCGGAGCUAAUACCGGAUACGUUCUUUCCUCGCAUGAGGAAAGAUGAAAAGAUGGUUUCGGCUAUCACUUACAGAUGGGCCCGCGGCGCAUUAGCUAGUUGGUGGGGUAACGGCCCACCAAGGCGACGAUGCGUAGCCGACCGGAGAGGGUGAUCGGCCACACUGGGACUGAGACACGGCCCAGGCUCCUACGGGAGGCAGCAGUAGGGAAUCUUCCGAAAUGGACGAAAGUCUGACGGAGCAACGCCGCGUGAGCGAAGAAGGCCUUCGGGUCGUAAAGCUCUGUUGUCAGGGAAGAACAAGUGCCAGAGUAACUGCUGGCACCUUGACGGUACCUGACCAGAAAGCCACGGCUAACUACGUGCCAGCCGCCGCAGUAA
rnacentral:rRNA from 1 species